GACGAACGCUGGCGGCGUGCUUAACACAUGCAAGUCGAACGAUGAAGCUGGAGCUUGCACCGGUGGAUUAGUGGCGAACGGGUGAGUAACACGUGGGCAAUCUGCCCUUCACUCUGGGAUAACUGCGGGAAACUGUAGCUAAUACCGGAUACGAGACCUUGGGGCAUCCCAGGGUCUGGAAAGAAUUUCGGUGAAGGAUGAGCUCGCGGCCUAUCAGCUAGUUGGUGAGGUAAUGGCUCACCAAGGCGACGACGGGUAGCCGGCCUGAGAGGGUGACCGGCCACACUGGGACUGAGACACGGCCCAGACUCCUACGGGAGGCAGCAGUGGGGAAUAUUGCACAAUGGGCGAAAGCCUGAUGCAGCAACGCCGCGUGAGGGAUGAAGGCCUUCGGGUUGUAAACCUCUUUUAGUAGGGAAGAAGCGCAAGUGACGGACCUACAGAAAAAGCACCGGCUAACUACGUGCCAGCAGCCGCCGUAA
rnacentral:rRNA from 1 species